ensembl:snoRNA small Cajal body-specific RNA 15
CUGGAGACUAAGAAAACAGAGUCCUUGAAGUCAAGCUGACUCGGCUUUCAGCCUCCUACAUUAAAAGGUAGAUAGAACAGGUCUUGUUUGCAAAAUAAAUUCGAGACCUACUGAUCUACCAACAGCA